AGUUGCUUCAGGAAGGGCAUCCGGCAUAAAACUUGUGCCAAAUACCAAUGCUGAUCUGGCUGUAUCCGCUGUGGUGCCCCUGAACAUUAUCGGGAACAGCUGAACUGACAACAACAUUAAUAAUAAAUUGAUAAUUGAU